AGCAUGGAGUUUGUACUUAUGUACUUAAUGCACAAUUGUCCAUUUUGUACUCUUUCUUUAACAACCCGAAAUUUGACGUCCUUAUGUUUUGCUGUCGUCAAACUCCUGUUGUUAUUAACAUAUGCAACCAUGGUUACAUAUGUUACUAGCAUAAAUGGCAAAAAUCGGAGUCGAUAUACCUGAUGAUCUCAAACUGGUCCGAACUCCG
rnacentral:lncRNA from 1 species